CAGCCGCCGCGGUAAUACGAAGGGGGCUAGCGUUGCUCGGAAUGACUGGGCGUAAAGGGCGCGUAGGCGGCGGCCAAAGUCAGACGUGAAAUUCCCGGGCUCAACCUGGGGGCUGCGUUUGAUACUUGGUUGCUUGAGUGGGGAAGAGGGUCGUGGAAUUCCCAGUGUAGAGGUGAAAUUCGUAGAUAUUGGGAAGAACACCGGUGGCGAAGGCGGCGACCUGGUCCUUUACUGACGCUGAGGCGCGAAAGCGUGGGGAGCAAACAGGAUUAGAUACCCCAGUAGUCCCUGUCUCUUAUAC
rnacentral:rRNA from 1 species